rnacentral:tRNA from 1 species
UUAAUUGAAACCAAAUAGAGGUAAUUUAUUGUUAAUAAAUUUAUUGAACAAAAUUCCAAUUAAA